AGAGUUUGAUCCUGGCUCAGGAUGAACGCUGGCGGCGUGCCUAAUACAUGCAAGUCGAGCGAACAGAUAAGGAGCUUGCUCCUUUGACGUUAGCGGCGGACGGGUGAGUAACACGUGGGUAACCUACCUAUAAGACUGGGAUAACUUCGGGAAACCGGAGCUAAUACCGGAUAACAUUUGGAACCGCAUGGUUCUAAAGUGAAAGAUGGUUUUGCUAUCACUUAUAGAUGGACCCGCGCCGUAUUAGCUAGUUGGUAAGGUAACGGCUUACCAAGGCAACGAUACGUAGCCGACCUGAGAGGGUGAUCGGCCACACUGGAACUGAGACACGGUCCAGACUCCUACGGGAGGCAGCAGUAGGGAAUCUUCCGCAAUGGGCGAAAGCCUGACGGAGCAACGCCGCGUGAGUGAUGAAGGGUUUCGGCUCGUAAAACUCUGUUAUUAGGGAAGAACAAACGUGUAAGUAACUGUGCACGUCUUGACGGUACCUAAUCAGAAAGCCACGGCUAACUACGUGCCAGCAGCCGCGGUAAUACGUAGGUGGCAAGCGUUAUCCGGAAUUAUUGGGCGUAAAGCGCGCGUAGGCGGUUUCUUAAGUCUGAUGUGAAAGCCCACGGCUCAACCGUGGAGGGUCAUUGGAAGCUGGGAAACUUGAGUGCAGAAGAGGAAAGUGGAAUUCCAUGUGUAGCGGUGAAAUGCGCAGAGAUAUGGAGGAACACCAGUGGCGAAGGCGACUUUCUGGUCUGUAACUGACGCUGAUGUGCGAAAGCGUGGGGAUCAAACAGGAUUAGAUACCCUGGUAGUCCACGCCGUAAACGAUGAGUGCUAAGUGUUAGGGGGUUUCCGCCCCUUAGUGCUGCAGCU
rnacentral:rRNA from 1 species